UCCUCAUUAGUAUAGUGGUGAGUAUCCCUGCCUGUCACGCGGGAGACCUGGGUUGAUUCCCUGAUGGGGAG
rfam:Chelonia mydas contig152730, whole genome shotgun sequence.